rnacentral:siRNA from 1 species
CCUGACCCGAAUAACCCGUUCUC